rnacentral:rRNA from 1 species
AUUGAACGCUGGCGGCAUGCCUAACACAUGCAAGUCGAGCGGAGCGGCGGACGGGUGAGUAAUGUCUAGGAAUCUGCCCGGUAGUGGGGGAUAACGUCCGGAAACGGGCGCUAAUACCGAAUACUAUCAGAUCAGCCUAGUUCGGAUUAGCUAGUUGGUGGGGUAAAGGCUUACCAAGGCGACGAUCCGUAACUGGUCUGAGAGGAUGAUCAGUCACACUGGAACUGAGACACGGCCCAGACUCCUACGGGAGGCAGCAGUGGGGAAUAUUGGACAAUGGGCGAAAGCCUGAGCCAGCCAUGCCGCGGGGGUGAAGAAGGUCUUCGGAUUGUAAAGCACUUUUGGUUGGGAGGCGGUACCAACAGAAUAAGCACCGGCUAACUACGUGCCAGCAGCCGCGGUAAUAC